rnacentral:rRNA from 1 species
UACGGCCUACGGGGGGCAGCAGUGGGGAAUCUUCCGCAAUGGGCGAAAGCCUGACGGAGCAACGCCGCGUGAUCGAAUGAAGGCCUUCGGGUUGUAAAGAUCUGUUGACAGGGACGAAUAAGCAAUGCGAAUAGUUUUGUGUAUGACGGUACUUGUUUAGAAAGCUCCGGCUAACUACGUGCCAGCAGCCGCGGUAAUACGUAGGAUGCGAGCGUUAUCCGGAUUUAUUGGGUUUAAAGGGUGCGUAGGCGGGCUGUUAAGUCAGCGGUACA